UGCCUGUGUAACACCUCCAGUUGAGAUCCGUAUUGGUCGGAGAAGUCUAAUGUCACUGGGAAUUCCAUCCGCAUCCUUGACGAUGUAUGACUGUCCAUCACAAUGGUGUACCACAGCGCUGAACUCUUCUUGACUAAGUCUCUUGGUAACUGGAACUCGCCUGCCUGUGUAACACCUCCAGUUGAGAUCCGUAUUGGUCGGAGAAGUCUAAUGUCACUGGGAAUUCCAUCCGCAUCCUUGACGAUGUAUGACUGUCCAUCACAAUGGUGUACCACAGCGCUGAACUCUUCUUGACUAAGUCUCUUGGUAACUGGAACUCGCCUGCCUGUGUAACACCUCCAGUUGAGAUCCGUAUUGGUCGGAGAAGUCUAAUGUCACUGGGAAUUCCAUCCGCAUCCUUGACGAUGUAUGACUGUCCAUCACAAUGGUGUACCACAGCGCUGAACUCUUCUUGACUAAGUCUCUUGGUAACUGGUAUGUUGUCACCUUCAGGCUUAAGACACUUUGUUUUAGUAACACCUAUAGUUCUUUUGAACAGACAUUGGUGUCCCUUUUGAAAGGCACCCUUGUUGUGCAGGUUUUCUGUUGGAUUUUUCUUUGGCUUCAUUGUUAGCACACUGGGUGUGGUAUAUUCUCUUAGGAUAAGCCAACUGUGAACUUUUGUAUCUCUUAGCAUGUAGCAGUCUUCAGUGGAAUGGAACCUGUGGUGUGUGUUAUGUUAAUAAAUACUGUCAUGCAGUAAACUGAUGCUGUUCUGUUUUGAAUUUGUUUAUGAUUGUGGUCAAUUCUCUCAGCCAUCAGAUACUUUAGUCUUCAGUUCACUCCCAGUUUGAAAUUGCCCAUGUGUCCUGUUGACAGCUGCCAGUGUGCAUACUUCCCUCUCAUACUGUCCCAAAAUAACCUUUUUCUGGCUCACUUGAAUUUGCCAAAUCCAAUAUUUAAAUUAAGUUUUUAAUAAAAGUUCAUGCAUAUGACAUAU